CACAUGCAAGUCGAGGGCGAGCAUAAAAGUAGCAUACUUGGUGGCGACCGGCGCACGGUGAGUAACGCGUAUGCAACCUACCUAUCAGAGGGAAUAACCCGGCGAAAGUCGGACUAAUACCGCAUAAAACAGGGGCACCGCAUGGUGAUAUUUGUUAAAGAAAUUCGCUGAUAGAUGGGCAUGCGUUCCAUUAGGUAGUUGGUGAGGUAACGGCUCACCAAGCCGACGAUGGAUAGGGGAACUGAGAGGUUGGUCCCCCACACUGGUACUGAGACACGGACCAGACUCCUACGGGAGGCAGCAGUGAGGAAUAUUGGUCAAUGGGCGGGAGCCUGAACCAGCCAAGUCGCGUGAAGGAAGAAGGAUCUAUGGUUCGUAAACUUCUUUUGCAGGGGAAUAAAGUGCAGGACGUGUCCUGUUUUGUAUGUACCCUGAGAAUAAGGAUCGGCUAACUCCGUGCCAGCAGCGGC
rnacentral:rRNA from 1 species